rnacentral:lncRNA from 1 species
UCAUUUAACCUGAAAUUAACUAAAUAGAACCUAAAAUAAGAGUAAUGAUAUAGAGCUAUGAGAACAUGAUUAAGAAAUUGCUAUUUGCAUUAAACUUCCAAGACUAAGAUUACUGAAUGCGUCACUAACAUAUUCAUGCUUCUAAUGUUAGCUAAGCUAGCUGAUACAGUUGCACAUCUUUAUAAUACAUAAGCAUAGCAACGACGCACUAUGACCAUCCAUGUUCCUUGUAAUAACGUCAUUUCCUUGCCCUCCAUUUUUCUAUCUUCAUCUAUUCUCUCUCCCUUCCCCUGCCCUUCCCCAACCACUAUCAUGAAUUCUUAGGUUAAAAAUACAGAUAGUCAUCGUCAACAAAGAAUUCCUAAUCAACUCAAGAGUUCAUGAAUGAGUUGUCUCCUUAGAAACACCAAAAAUUUGGGUCCAGAAGAUAAAUCCUUGCAUGACUAUGACCAAAGAGGGGGGGAAAAAAAUACGUUGUCAUUUUGUGACCAGUAUCUCUGAUCCAUUCAAAGUUUUAUUGCUUUUCUAAGUUCUAAAAUGAAUCAAUUGUUCGUGACAUGACACAAUACAAUAUGCACCUUCAUAUCCAUAUAAUCACCUUAUACCUCUGCUCUAGAACUAACUAAAAGAAAAUCAAAAGAAUACAUCUAAGCACUUGAAACAAUAACCCACUUCCUAGAAAGUAAAAAAUCACAACUGAGAAUUAAAUAUCGUUAUUUUCGAUCAAAAUUAAGCAACCAGGAUGCAAUGAAACAAAUAAAAAGAGAAUACUUUCAUUACCUAGGUUGAAAUUCCAAAAUCUCUGCAAGAUUAUCCCCAUUCUUAUCCAACCACUGCACCUUCCUCCUAGGUUUCCCCGUCUUUUUGGACAACCCACCUUUCUUGGAUGGCAACAAGGUCAGUGAUUCGUCUUCUCCUUCACUUUUCCCAUUCAAAACAACUUUGGGAGACUCCACAUUCUUUACAAAUUUAGUAUUAUGUUUAUUAUUCUUAACCUGCUUUCCAUUCGUAUCCAUUGCUAGAAACUAUCUGUCAAAGAUCUAUAUUCAGCUACCAAUAUCAAGAAAGGUAGGAUCUUUUAUCGAUAUUGAACACGAAAGCAAUAACCCAUUUAUGAAAAACGACAAUUCAGCAUCCCAAACAAUUGA